ACCUGGGUGGCUCAGUCGGUUGAGUGUCAGACUCUUGGUUUUCUCUCAGGUCAUGAUCUCAGGGUCGUGGGAUCAAGUCCCACACCAGGCU
rnacentral:tRNA from 1 species